rnacentral:tRNA from 1 species
ACUUAUUUAAUAUAAAAAAUAUAUUUGACUUCCAAUCAAAAAAUCUAAAAUUAGUUUAAGUA